rnacentral:rRNA from 1 species
GACAGAGGUGCCGAGCGUUAGGCGGAAUCACUGGGCUUAAAGCGUGUGUAGGCGGGCGGGCAAGUACCUUGUGAAAUCCCACGGCUCAACCGUGGAACGGCUGGGUAUACUGCCUGUCUUGAGCCAACUAGGGGCGAGCGGAACAGACGGUGGAGCGGUGAAAUGCGUAGAUAUCGUCUGGAACGCCGAAGGUGAAAACAGCUCGCUGGGGUUGUGCUGACGCUGGAGACACGAAAGCCAGGGGAGCGAACGGG